CUCGUAUNGUCCCAAAAUUCUUGUCUUAAAUUUGUCUAAAUACGGAUGUAUCUAGUUACAUUUUAGUGUUAGAUACAUCUAUAUCUAAACAAAUGUAAGACAAGAAUUUUGGGACGGAGGGAAUACUAC
rnacentral:pre_miRNA from 1 species